rnacentral:rRNA from 1 species
GACGUAGGGCGCGAGCGUUGUCCGGAUUUAUUGGGCGUAAAGAGCUCGUAGGCGGCUUGUUGCGUCGACUGUGAAAACCCGCGGCUUAACUGCGGGCUUGCAGUUGAUACGGGCAGGCUAGAGUUCGGUAGGGGAGACUGGAAUUCCUGGUGUAGCGGUGAAAUGCGCAGAUAUCAGGAGGAACACCGGUGGCGAAGGCGGGUCUCUGGGGCCGAUACUGACGCUGAGGAGCGAAAGCGUGGGGGAGCGAACAGG